AUUACAGAUUACUUCAACUACGGUUUCACUGAAGAGACGUGGGAGGCUUUCUACCUGAAACAGAAAGACAUGCGAUCGGCUAGGAGGGAAAUGGCAUCUGUAUGCAAGCGAAUUGAAGAUAAACAGAGAGCAAACAGAGAAAAGCGAACAGGUGGUACAGAAAAGGUGGACAAACACAGACAACAUCAGAAGGAGUGGAGCCGACCUUGUUCUGCCUCUGACUCACACAGUUUAUUUCCCAGACGAUGUGACUCCACCAGUAGUGCAAGCCAAGAUGAUUGGUCCAGAAGACGACAUGACUCCAAUCGUAGUUUAAACCGAGAUCGCUGGUCGGGUGGAGGCAGAAAGAGCUCAUCAGCCACGGAGGACAGUGCUACUCAUCUAUUCACUUCACCUGACUCCAUGUGUCCCUCUGAUCCCUAUUUUCAAAGAUCCUCAAUGACCCUUAGUGAGACUGCGGAUAGACGGGAGGGCCGAGUGAGGAGCAAGGACAGUGAAGAGUGCAGAGAACAGCAAUAUGAGGAGAGGAAGAGGAGAAGAACGCACGAGGAAGACAAACCCAGGGGAAUAUGGAGGAGGGCCGUCCAUUGCCCAAGGAGCCUCUUGUAAGAUGUCUGGGCUCGCGAGGCAGAUCUGACGGGCAACAAUGAAGUGGACACCCUCUUCGCUAGCCUAAAACAGGACAAGGCACAUUUACAAUCAUCGUCAGUUAUUUUACACACACAUUUUAUGAAGUUAAAUGGAUGUGAAAUCUUUGAAAAUAGUGUAAUUGAAAAAUUAACUAUUGUAACAGAUGAUCAGAUGUGAAUUUGUUGUUUUCCCCCAAGUUCAGUUAAAGUAAUGCUCCCAGUAAUCCAACUUGACUUAGCAGCGACGUGACUAAUUCUUUUUGUGGAGACC
rnacentral:lncRNA from 1 species